AUUCACUCUUUUUUUUUACAAAACCCUAAUGAAGCCAGUUUCUUUCUUCUUCUUGAGACAAUGGAUUCCAAAACAAUCUAAAACGGGUGUCUUGCACAUCAAGAAGAAAUUCUUAGGGUUUUUGAUUCUUCCACUACAAGAUUAGGGCUAUUUAUUGGACGUCGAUUUGUUUUUUUCCGUCAAUUUCAACAAGGUGUAACCGGCGGCGGCUUACAAGUUAGCUAUCAGAAACAAUGGAGUGUCGGAAUUGACUAUAUUGGCGGAAAUCGUCGAAGAAAAGCCCCAGCGAAACCGAAAGCUUAGAAGGAUCAAUCAUGUAUCGUCUUCCCAUUAUGAUGAUCAAGCAUUUUUAAUUCAUCAACUAGAGGGUGGUUUUGGGAGGGAAUCCAUUCUAUUAACUUUGGACGCGGGAUCCGUUUUUACAAUGAGUGACCCGAUAUCAGAUGGAUCAUAUAUGUCGUCUUUGACAAAUCCUAAAGCUUCACAGACACACUUCUCUCAAACCCUAAAUUCCUCUUUGCGAUUCUUCAUGUUCUUCACCGAUUAUUCGUGAUUGAUCUUAGGUAUGUUGUUGUUCUUUCAUCUAGGUAUGUUAUUGUUCUUACCCUCUUUGUUUUUAUUCUUAUUCGUUUUCUAACGUGUAUUUCAUACGCUGGUUCUUCUUCAUUCUUCGCCACGAUUCAUCGUCGUCCAAAACUGAUCCAGAAAGCAUGCUACUCACAACAACGAAAAGGUACACAUUUUUUAAUGUUAUUUCAAGAUUAUUCUUAGGAUGAUCAUUCAGCUUUUUUGAGAUUGCAGGUAUGUUUAUUUAUCCAUUACAUCUACAAUACGCUGUCAAAAGUAUUUUAUAAAAGGUUUAUUGUGUUUACCGUUUAGGGAUUGUGUAUCCGAACCGAUUAUACCUUCAAUUUAGUUUAUGAUAUCUUUUUGAUGUUUCGUUAUCUGAUUACUGUUGUCGUCUCAGAUCUGCAAGCCGCAUAUCAGAUCAAAUGAAAAAAUAAAUUGAAGGUUAGGGACUUAGAGUGUUGACACACUUCUGGUGUUGGAUUAUCGACACCUACAUUUUAAAUGAAGAUGAUUUUAUGCAAAAAUUCGUGAAGUUGCAAAAGUGUAUAUUCUGACCACAGGAGUUUUUGUUUAGAAUGGGAACAUUAGCAUACCAAGUAUGCUUUGCUCAAUUAUUGUUUCAGUUUGAUACCAUUUUUUUGAUUGUUGGAUGGGUUGGGGACUAACUUCUAAAAUGACUCUUUAUGUGAAUUCAUCUCUAUUUGGUUUUGUAGAUUGAAAGUUCAUAUCUUGAAGAUGGUAAAAGUCUCAACAAUUGGGAUGUCUUUUCUCUUUUAUAUAUUCAAUUUAGGUUUUAUUUAUACAUUUUUAUGUCAAUUUGUGUAUUUUCGUGUUUGUUUUUAAUGUGCAGGCAACAUUUGAAAUGGUGACAAUGGAUUCGUAGCUGCUGACCAGUAUAACCAAAUAUUUAGUAUCUUUCUUUUUUAUUCAUUUUUCUCUAAUCUAUAUAAAAAUGUUACUUUCAGUUCUCGAAAACUAUUUGAAUCUGAUUAACUAACAGUUGCAGAGACAUUGUUUUUCUAUAUCAUGGUCAAUAAUUCUUCUAGGUUCGAUAUGCAACUUAAAAAAUGUUAAAAAAAGACCGAAUAUAUAUAUAUGUUUGAUUAUCAAAUUCUUACAUUUUUUGUUCUUUCCGAGUUCACCGGAUGUUCCCCGUUUUAUGUGGGCCAUACGGAUCACCUGUGGGAUACUGAUUCGGUUGCAGAUGCAAUGGAUUGUGCCUUGGAGCUGAUUAAAAGGUAGAGAAAACUUUCAUUUUGACAUGGGAAACAGUAAAUUACGCUACGCCUCAGCAGCAGCAGGAAUCCGAGAGGGUAUAGAUUUGUCGAAUGUUUUGAGGAAUGUGAAAUUUAGAUACUCUUUUCAACAUGAUCGUAAAGUGUAAGCCUUAAAACUCAGGAGGAGUGAGGCAUAUUCUCAAGACAAGUCAUCAAGGAAAUGGGUACAACUUGAUAGGUAAAAUCCACCUUAAUGAAUGAGAUAUCCUUUGUCGACAGUUAGGUCCGACUCGGGCUCUUUUAAUGAACAAGGUAUUCAUCUUACUUAUACUUUUAUUUUUAUUUUUAUUACUUUUUCCAAAUUGCACACAAAUUACUUAUGAGUCAUACAUUUAUAGCUAAGUUAUGGAUUAGUGGACAAAUUACUUAUGUGUGUGUCAAUUUGGGUCACACGCUUCACUUAAAGGUAAACUAUAUCAUUAUUUUUUUUCUUAGUUUAUAGUUUGUGUUUGACUUUUGUUUUAGGCGGAAUAAGUUGAAUAUGCCAUUUGGUUCUUUUUCUAGAUCGCCUUUUGGUAUUAUGUUUGUUUCAGUAUUUUAACACGCUCAAUUUAUCUUACAGUUGAUAUUACAGAUUGUUAAGAAAUCGUAUAAUUAAGGACCACAUGUUUUCUUCUUCAUGUAUGUGUGCUUUUGGAUAAUGCAUUAUUUUAAAUUUUAUUUUGGCUUUUUAUAUAGAUAUAUUAAUUCCUUUAUAAAGAUUUGUUUUGUGAAUCAGUUUAUAUCGUAGGGGAGGUCUUACAGCAAAACAAUCUGCUUAAAAAAGUUCGUGUGAUGUAGCAUUAUUGAUGGUGGAAUGUCAAGUCUUCAUUGUGUUCUUCAGUUGGAGACGAGAGGAGUUUGAUAUACUGUUUUCUGAGGUUGGGUCAAAACAGUCUGUUAAAAAAAUCAAUUUGGAUGGGUCACUCUUUAUAAUGUUCUAAAACCAUUGUAUCGAAUAAGAAGCUUUGUGUGAUAACCUAUGGAGAUGAAAAGACCAACAAGAUUUGUUUAGAAUAUAUUUAUGGUCGAACAUAAUGCAAUAAUACAUUUAUGUACUUACUUUUUGGUGUGUUACUGUCUUGUGACUAUAGGUUUGGGAUGUAACAAUUGGUAGAAAGGAAUACACUUUUGAAGGUGAUAAUAAUGCUCCUGUUUAUUGUGUAUACCCUCACUUCAAGGAAAACAUUCAGGUAAACUGGUCGGAUCAGUGGAGCGGGGUCAAGCGGAUUGGAAGUCGCCUAAAGUGUAAAACUGUACAAAAUCAAGUUUAGAGGGAUUUGAUGCAAUAGGGUUUUGUAAGUUUUUGUGGCAUUGACUAAAAUGGUUCCGUCUGGUUUUAAAAAAAAAAGAGAAAGCAGCUUAUGAAGAGUUGGGCUUUGAACUGAUGGGACCUUAACUUAUCAAACCCUUGAUGAUAUAUAUCUAUGGUUACUAUGGAUCCAAGGUUCCAAGUCAGGUCGACACGGGUCAGAAGUUCAAGUGGAACAACUGGGCGCCAAUCAAAGUGACUUUUUUUAGGUUUGGAGAGCAUCUAGGGACUGUUCACUUUAUUUGACUAUGGAAAGUUAAUUGUUUAACGAAAUUGUUCAGUUCCUGUCAAAUAUAUAGAUAGCUAUAUGAGGUUAAAUCAUUAAUUCUGCUAAAGUUUGUGGUU